GGAGGGGCAAGGGGGGCAGAAGUGCACUUUGUGUUAUUGAAAUUCUGCCUGCUAAAUCUUAUCUCCAGUUUUGGGCAAAGUCAUGAGGUGUGAACUUGAAUAGUUGAAUGUGACCUGAUUAAGUGUGUUUGUGCAGUUAUAGUUCCUUGAGUAGACUUUAUUUCCAGAACACAGAACAGCUAUCGUCAAUGGAACAUGCACAAUCAGGCUUUCAUUGGCAAGUCAACACAUAAUUGUAGGUCUAAAAAGGUGCCCUUGCCUUUUUAUUGUUCCAACGUCCCUGUAUAAAUGCAUCAAAUCUUUUUUUACCUGUAGUACUUAUGUUGUGUUCUGUUGUGGGAGUUUAACCUUAUUCCAUCACCAACUUCUGUAACAAUCUGACCACCCAAGCUGGAUAUUUUAGAGGAUAUACCGAAUGACCUACCACUGGUGAAUUUGGAUGAGCCAUUGUUAUGCAAUUGCAUUAAGCAGCCAUUAAAUCCUAUGUGUUUAGUUAAAAUUCAUGGUGAAGAGAUGCCUGGUGAUGUGGAAAGUAUUGGUGCAGAAGGUGGAGUUGCAGACAUGGACAAGAUUGAUGAAAUUCAGCAGUUGACCCAAUUAUUGGGUGUGGGACAGGCUACUGAUGAUGCUAAUUGCUAAAUACAUGAAUGAUUCAAGCUCUGAUUAGCAGGAUGGAGACAAGGAUUCUAAAGGACAAGGAUUGUGGAGGAGACACAUUGUAUCCUGAGAAUUAAGACAAGGAUUGUGGAGGACACUUUGCAUCCUGAGAAGUUUGUUGUAGCUGGUUGCUGGCGAGAACAAAGAUACCAUGCAACUUGUGAUAAUCAUGGAUAGAUGAUCAAAAAAUCUCAAGUUGAAAUUUAAAGUAGAACAUGAGCAAGACAUUUUUAGUUGAGAUUUUCAUAUAAAUUUAUUCCUAUUAAAACACUGUUAUUAUUUCAGGUAAAUAUUUGACAUUAGUAUUUUUGCACAAGUGAACAUAAUUAACAAAUGCUACAAGGUGAUUGGUCAAAUUUGAC